CAGUAAAGGAAAAUCCACUGUCAAGCAUACUGAGUUAAAGGCAUGAAACCCUGAUGAGAAAAAUGAGACCUUUCCAGCCCUCGCAAUCCUUUACUGACAACUCUGACUCAGAGGGUACACUGGACAACACAGG
rnacentral:lncRNA from 14 species